rnacentral:rRNA from 1 species
UACGUAGGGUGCGAGCGUUAAUCGGAAUUACUGGGCGUAAAGCGUGCGCAGGCGGUUCGCAAAGUCUGAUGUGAAAGCCCCGGGCUCAACCUGGGAACUGCAUUGGAAACUAACGGGCUCGAGUGUGGCAGAGGGGGGUGGAAUUCCACGUGUAGCAGUGAAAUGCGUAGAGAUGUGGAGGAACACCGAUGGCGAAGGCAGCCUUCUGGGCCAAUACUGACGCUCAUGCACGAAAGCGUGGGGAGCAAACAGG